rnacentral:rRNA from 1 species
GAUGAACGCUGGCGGCGUGCCUAAUACAUGCAAGUCGAGCGAACGGACGAGAAGCUUGCUUCUCUGAUGUUAGCGGCGGACGGGUGAGUAACACGUGGAUAACCUACCUAUAAGACUGGGAUAACUUCGGGAAACCGGAGCUAAUACCGGAUGAUAUUUUGAACCGCAUGGUUCAAAAGUGAAAGACGGUCUUGCUGUCACUUGUAGAUGGAUCCGCGCUGCAUUAGCUAGUUGGUAAGGUAACGGCUUACCAAGGCAACGAUGCAUAGCCGACCUUAGAGGGGGAUCGGCCCCUUGGGGCGUGACCGGCGGCCCCGGAACUGAGGGGAGGCACAGAGAGGAAAGCUACGCAAAAGGGGGGAAGCCUGACGAAGGCGCGGCGGGUGGGUGAAGAAGGUCUUCGGAUGGGAAAACUUUUUUAUUGGGGAAAACCAUUUUCGUAAGUAACGUUGCGCAAGUGACGGUAACCGAAAAAGAAGGCCCCGGUAAAUCAGUG